CCUAGUGGAUUCCUUGAAUGACUUUCCAAAGUCAGGGAUUUGACCACGCUCUGUUCAUAUGGCCUUUAGGAAAAAGUGUCCACUUUAAUACAUUUUUCUUACCAGGUUGUUUCUAAAAGGCUGUGUGAUCUUCACCUUUGAGGUCAGAAGUGCUAUGUGAUCUGCACCUUUGAGGUCAGAAGCAGAAGUUGGUGUCUGCCCUUACAGAACGUUGAAUCUCGUCAUGAUUUAGGUGGGCUUAACAUGGAAGCAAGGGCUUGUGAGGAGCAGGAGGAACUGGUAGAAGGAUGAGCCACAAGCAAUCCAGAGUGGGGAAAAGUGGAGACCUUGGGCCAUCUCACCAUUAAGAGGGUCCAGCCCUAUUUAAGUCUCCAGAUGUGGCUGAGGACCCAGGCGAGGCAGCACCCCAAACUGUGUUCUGAGGGAGAAGUGACUCCACAACAGAAAGAAGUUGCCUCAGAAGAAUGAAAGGACACCUUCAAACAUGCUGUCAGUGAUUCAGCCAAUACAGUGAUGAAGCAGCCAGCUCAGGUCGUGCCAGGCCACCAGCCCAUCCUGGGCUGAGGAAGCCAAAGGCUGACAAAAGGAGGAAGCAUGCCUGAGCCAACUUGCCCAGGAGCUGGAAAAUUCAAAUGCUGAUUCUGUGGGUUGGAGUCCUCUGAGGCUGCUCACUUAAGAGGAUGAACUUUCCAGAGAGAAGAGACCAGUGCCAUAGUCAAGCAAAGAACAGUAGCUGUGGUUCCGAACUAGACUCUCCAAAAGGUCCGUGAAGUGCUUUCCCAGUCCACCCCAUCUUAUUCAGCUUGUCCUGCAUUUCAGAGUUUCCAGACCUUUUGCCAUGCUGGAGGUCCACCACUAGCUGGCAUCAAUUAGCCAAUGGUCUUAAAAGAGAUGCCCAGCAAAAGAACGAAAUAUUGCAGGUACAAUCUGCUCAAAGUUCCCUUUUCUGGGUAGUAUUCUUCUAGACAGCUGGUUAAGUUGAGAGAUUCACCUGCCUCCUUUUGGCUGUAAUUUAACAUUUCCUGAACAACUCUUUCAAAUGAUUAUUUGUCUGGUGUAAAUUAUGUAAAAUAGUCACUUUGGAAAAUAGUUUGGCAUAGUAAAGUUGACCCAGCAAUUCCAUUUUUAGACAUACUGCUGUAUAGAAUCUCUUACACAUCUGCACCAGGAGGCAUGGAAAAGAACAUUCACAGUAGCAUUGUCUGCGACAGCAACAAAAACAGAUGAACAAAGCUAGAAAUAUCCCAAAUGUCCACUGACAGGAGAAUGACUAAAUACAUUGCUUAUCCAUUUUUUAAAAAUUUUGGUAAGAUGUAUAUAAUAUAGAACUUAUCGUUUUAACCAUUUUUAAGUGUACAGUUUGUGGCAGUAAGUACUUUUACACUGUUGUGUAACUACCAUCAUCCAUCUCCAGAGCUUUUUUUCUUCCUCAACUGAAACUCUGUAUACAUUGAGCACUAACUCCCUGGUCCUUUCUCCCCCACAGCCCCUGGCAAUCUUUACUUUCUGUCUCUAUGAAUUUAACUCUUCUAGGUAUCUUAUAUGAGUGGAAUCAUACAAUAUUUGUCCUUCUGGCUUAUUUUAACUUCAUAAUGUUUUCAAAGUUCAUCCAUAUUGUAGCAUGGAUUAGAAUUUUCUUCCUUUCUAAAGCUGAAUAAUAUUCCAUUGUGUGCAUGUAUAUAUAUAUCUGUAUAUAUGUCUAUACACACCACACCACAUAUUCUUUAUCCAUUCAUCCGUUGUUGGAUGCUUGUGCUGCUUCCUCCUUUAGGCUUUUGUGAAUAAUGCUGCUGUGAACAUGGAUGUACAAAUGUUCCUCAAGUCCCUACUUUCACUUCUUUGGGGUAUAUAAG